rnacentral:rRNA from 1 species
GGGUUGUGAGGUUAAGCGACUAAGCGUACACGGUGGAUGCCCUGGCAGUCAGAGGCGAUGAAGGACGUGCUAAUCUGCGAAAAGCGUCGGUAAGGUGAUAUGAACCGUUACAGCCGGCGAUGUCCGAAUGGGGAAACCCAGUGUGAUUCGUCACACUAUCGUUAACUGAAUACAUAGGUUAACGAGGCGAACCGGGGGAACUGAAACAUCUAAGUACCCCGAGGAAAAGAAAUCAACCGAGAUUCCCCCAGUAGCGGCGAGCGAACGGGGAGCAGCCCAGAGUCUGAAUCAGCUUGUGUGUUAGUGGAACGGUCUGGAAAGUCCGACGGUACAGGGUGAUAGUCCCGUACACCAAAAUGCACAGGUUGUGAACUCGAAGAGUAGGGCGGGACACGUGGUAUCCUGUCUGAAUAUGGGGGACCAUCCUCCAAGGCUAAAUACUCCUGACUGACCGAUAGUGAACCAGUACCGUGAGGGAAAGGCGAAAAGAACCCCGGCGAGGGGAGUGAAAAAGAACCUGAAACCGUGUACGUACAAGCAGUGGGAGCACCUUCGGGUGUGACUGCGUACCUUUUGUAUAAUGGGUCAGCGACUUAUAUUCUGUAGCAAGGUUAACCGUAUAGGGGAGCCGCAGGGAAACCGAGUCUUAACUGGGCGUUAAGUUGCAGGGUAUAGACCCGAAACCCGGUGAUCUAGCCAUGGGCAGGUUGAAGGUUGGGUAACACUAACUGGAGGACCGAACCGACUAAUGUUGAAAAAUUAGCGGAUGACUUGUGGCUGGGGGUGAAAGGCCAAUCAAACCGGGAGAUAGCUGGUUCUCCCCGAAAGCUAUUUAGGUAGCGCCUCGUGAAUUCAUCUUCGGGGGUAGAGCACUGUUUCGGCUAGGGGGUCAUCCCGACUUACCAACCCGAUGCAAACUACGAAUACCGAAGAAUGUUAUCACGGGAGACACACGGCGGGUGCUAACGUCCGUCGUGAAGAGGGAAACAACCCAGACCGCCAGCUAAGGUCCCAAAGUCACAGUUAAGUGGGAAACGAUGUGGGAAGGCACAGACAGCCAGGAUGUUGGCUUAGAAGCAGCCAUCAUUUAAAGAAAGCGUAAUAGCUCACUGGUCGAGUCGGCCUGCGCGGAAGAUGUAACGGGGCUAAACUGUGCACCGAAGCUGCGGCAGCGACACUUAGGUGUUGUUGGGUAGGGGAGCGUUCUGUAAGCCUGCGAAGGUGGCCUGUGAGGGUUGCUGGAGGUAUCAGAAGUGCGAAUGCUGACAUAAGUAACGAUAAUGCGGGUGAAAAGCCCGCACGCCGGAAGACCAAGGGUUCCUGUCCAACGUUAAUCGGGGCAGGGUGAGUCGACCCCUAAGGCGAGGCCGAAAGGCGUAGUCGAUGGGAAACAGGUUAAUAUUCCUGUACUUGGUGUUACUGCGAAGGGGGGACGGAGAAGGCUAUGUUAGCCGGGCGACGGUUGUCCCGGUUUAAGCAUGUAGGCGGAGGUUCCAGGUAAAUCCGGUACCUUUUAACGCUGAGGUGUGAUGACGAGGCACUACGGUGCUGAAGUAACAAAUGCCCUGCUUCCAGGAAAAGCCUCUAAGCAUCAGGUAACAUUGAAUCGUACCCCAAACCGACACAGGUGGUCAGGUAGAGAAUACCAAGGCGCUUGAGAGAACUCGGGUGAAGGAACUAGGCAAAAUGGUGCCGUAACUUCGGGAGAAGGCACGCUGAUAUGUAGGUGAAGCCCCUGCGGGUGGAGCUGAAAUCAGUCGAAGAUACCAGCUGGCUGCAACUGUUUAUUAAAAACACAGCACUGUGCAAACACGAAAGUGGACGUAUACGGUGUGACGCCUGCCCGGUGCCGGAAGGUUAAUUGAUGGGGUUAUCCGUAAGGAGAAGCUCUUGAUCGAAGCCCCGGUAAACGGCGGCCGUAACUAUAACGGUCCUAAGGUAGCGAAAUUCCUUGUCGGGUAAGUUCCGACCUGCACGAAUGGCGUAAUGAUGGCCAGGCUGUCUCCACCCGAGACUCAGUGAAAUUGAACUCGCUGUGAAGAUGCAGUGUACCCGCGGCAAGACGGAAAGACCCCGUGAACCUUUACUAUAGCUUGACACUGAACAUUGAGCCUUGAUGUGUAGGAUAGGUGGGAGGCUUUGAAGCGUGGACGCCAGUCUGCGUGGAGCCAACCUUGAAAUACCACCCUUUAAUGUUUGAUGUUCUAACGUUGGCCCCUGACCGGGGUUGCGGACAGUGUCUGGUGGGUAGUUUGACUGGGGCGGUCUCCUCCCAAAGAGUAACGGAGGAGCACGAAGGUUAGCUAAUCCUGGUCGGACAUCAGGAGGUUAGUGCAAUGGCAUAAGCUAGCUUGACUGCGAGCGUGACGGCGCGAGCAGGUGCGAAAGCAGGUCAUAGUGAUCCGGUGGUUCUGAAUGGAAGGGCCAUCGCUCAACGGAUAAAAGGUACUCCGGGGAUAACAGGCUGAUACCGCCCAAGAGUUCAUAUCGACGGCGGUGUUUGGCACCUCGAUGUCGGCUCAUCACAUCCUGGGGCUGAAGUAGGUCCCAAGGGUAUGGCUGUUCGCCAUUUAAAGUGGUACGCGAGCUGGGUUUAGAACGUCGUGAGACAGUUCGGUCCCUAUCUGCCGUGGGCGCUGGAGAAUUGAGGGGGGCUGCUCCUAGUACGAGAGGACCGGAGUGGACGCAUCACUGGUGUUCGGGUUGUCAUGCCAAUGGCAUUGCCCGGUAGCUAAAUGCGGAAGAGAUAAGUGCUGAAAGCAUCUAAGCACGAAACUUGCCCCGAGAUGAGUUCUCCCUGAGACUUUAAGUCUCCUGAAGGAACGUUAAAGACGAUGACGUUGAUAGGUCGGGUGUGUAAGCGUAGCGAUACGUUGAGCUAACCGAUACUAAUGAACCGUGAGGCUUAACCUUACAACGCCGAAGGUGUUU